AUACGGAGGGUGCAAGCGUUAUCCGGAAUCUUUGGGUUUAAAGGGUCCGUAGGCGGACUAAUAAGUCAGGGGUGAAAUCCCACAGCUUAACUGUGGAACUGCCUUUGAUACUGUUAGUCUUGAGUUAUAUGGAAGUAGAUAGAAUGUGUAGUGUAGCGGUGAAAUGCUUAGAGAUUACACAGAAUACCGAUUGCGAAGGCAGUCUACUACAUAUAUACUGACGCUAAUGGACGAAAGCGUGGGGAGCGAACAGGAUUAGAAACCCUAGUAGUCC
rnacentral:rRNA from 1 species